rnacentral:rRNA from 1 species
AACCUGGUUGAUCCUGCCAGUAGUCAUAUGCUUGUCUCAAAGAUUAAGCCAUGCAUGUGUAAGCACACACUGUUUUAAAAGUGAAGCCGCGAAUGGCUCAUUACAACAGCCACAGUUUAUUAGAACUUACAAUCAUGGAUAACUGUGGUAAUUCUAGAGCUAAUACACGCACAAAAACUUCAACUGAAUUGGUUGAAGUGCUUUUAUUAGAACAAAAACCGAACGGCGUUUGACGAAUGUUGAACGUCGAAACUGUUUGGUGAAUCUGAAUAACUAUUUCUGAUCGCAUGGUCUAGCACCGGCGACAUCACUUUCAAGUGUCUGCCUUAUCAACCUUCGAUGGUAGUCUAUGCGACUACCAUGAUGAUAACGGGUAACGGAGAAUCAGGGUUCGACUCCGGAGAGGGAGCCUGAGAAACGGCUACCACAUCCAAGGAAGGCAGCAGGCGCGCAAAUUACCCACUCCCAGCUUGGGGAGGUAGUGACGAAAAAUAACGAGACGAUUCUCGUUUGAGAAACGUUAUCGAAAUGAGUACGCUUUACACACGCUAACGAGUAGCAAUUGGAGGGCAAGUCUGGUGCCAGCAGCCGCGGUAAUUCCAGCUCCAAUAGCGUAUAUUAAAGUUGCUGCGGUUAAAACGCUCGUAGUUGAAUUGUGGUCUUAGACAACAGUCCCCCUACAAAGGUGUGGCACGGUUGCUCGAGAUCUUCAUUCGUGGUUGCUGUUGUUGCUCUUCAUUGAGUGUCAAUGGUGCCUCGAGAUUUUACUUUGAAAAAAUUAGAGUGCUCAAAGCAGGUUGUGAUGCCUGAAUAAUGGUGCAUGGAAUAAUAGAAUACGAUCUCGGUUCUAUUUUGUUGGUUUUCGAACCGGAGAUAAUGAUUGAAAGGAACAGACGGGGGCAUUCGUAUUGCUGCGUUAGAGGUGAAAUUCUUGGAUCGCAGCAAGAUGAACAAUUGCGAAAGCAUUUGCCAAGAAUGUUUUCAUUAAUCAAGAACGAAAGUUAGAGGUUCGAAGGCGAUCAGAUACCGCCCUAGUUCUAACGGUAAACUAUGCCAACCAGCGAUUCGCCGAAGUUCAUUUAAGACUCGGCGAGCAGCUUCCGGGAAACCAAAGUGUUUCGGUUCCGGGGGAAGUAUGGUUGCAAAGCUGAAACUUAAAGGAAUUGACGGAAGGGCACCACCAGGGGUGGAGCCUGCGGCUUAAUUUGACUCAACACGGAAAAACUCACCCGGCCCGGACACUGGAAGGAUUGACAGAUUGACAGCUCUUUCUUGAUUCAGUGGGUAGUGGUGCAUGGCCGUUCUUAGUUGGUGGAGCGAUUUGUCUGGUUAAUUCCGAUAACGAACGAGACUCUACCCUAUUAAAUAGUGACAGUAUUGUAUUUUUUGUGCUGAUCACUUCUUAGAGGGACUGGCAAAUUGAAAGCUGCACGAAAAAGAGCAAUAACAGGUCUGUGAUGCCCUUCGAUGUCCGGGGCUGCACGCGCGCUACAAUGAAAGCGUCAACGUGAGUUACGUCCUUACCUGAAAAGGUUUGGCAAUCGAAUGAAACGUUUUCUUGAAUGGAAUAGGGAAUUGCAAUUGUUUCCCUUGAACGAGGAAUUCCCAGUAGGCGUGAGUCAUUAGCUCGCGUUGAUUACGUCCCUGCCCUUUGUACACACCGCCCGUCGCUACUACCGAUUGGAUGAUUUAGUGAGGUGUUUUGACUGGCGCCAGUAGUCGGAUAUGUAUUCGGCUUCGCGCCGGGAAAUUUCCCAAACCGAAUCAUCUAGAGGAAGUAAAAGUCGUAACAAGGUUUCCGUAGGUGAACCUGCGGAAGGAUCAUUA